rnacentral:rRNA from 1 species
UACGUAGGGGGCGAGCGUUAUCCGGAUUUACUGGGCGUAAAGCGCGUUAAGGCGGUUGGCAAAGUUGGUUGUGAAAUCUCAGGGCUCAACCCUGAAAUUGCGACCAAUACUGGUCGACUAGAGUGUGAGAGAGGAAGGUGGAAUUCCCGGUGUAGUAGUGAAAUGCGUAGAGAUCAGGAGGAACACCCGUGGCGAAGGCGGCCCUCUGGCUCGACCCUGACGCUGAGACGCGAAAGCGUGGGGAGCGAACAGG